rnacentral:rRNA from 1 species
UACGGAGGGUGCAAGCGUUAUCCGGAUUUACUGGGUUUAAAGGGUGCGUAGGCGGUUUCCUAAGUUUGAUGUGAAAUCCCGGGGCUUAACCCUGGAAUUGCAUUGAAUACUGGGAGACUAGAGUACUGGAGAGGAAACUGGAAUUUACGGUGUAGCAGUGAAAUGCGUAGAGAUCGUAAGGAAGACCAGUGGCGAAGGCGAGUUUCUGGACAGUAACUGACGCUGAGGCACGAAGGCCAGGGGAGCAACCGGG